UCCCUCUUAGCUCAGUGGUAGAGCGCGUCACUAGUAUGCGCUUGGUAUUUGACAAGUACAUGACGAGGUCAGUCGUUCAAGUCGGCUAGAGGGAA